rnacentral:rRNA from 1 species
GACGAACCGUGCGAACGUUGUUCGGAAUCACUGGGCUUAAAGGGCGCGUAGGCGGCCGCCUUGGUCGUGGUUGAAAUCCCCCAGCUCAACUGGGGAACUGCCUACGAUACCGGGCGGCUCGAGGGAGGAAGGGGCGGCCGGAACUGUCGGUGGAGCGGUGAAAUGCGUUGAUAUCGACAGGAACGCCGGUGGCGAAGGCGGCCCACUGGGUCUUUUCUGACACUGAGGGACGAAAGCUAGGGGAGCGAACGGG